AACAAAUAUUUACAUGACUUACGUUUUAAAUUAUAUACAUAAUGAACAUAAACGAUUAUUAAAUAUUGCCAUUUUUAUUUAAUAAAUAUUUUAAAUACAUUUGUUUGUUGUGUGGGAUCCGUACAGUAUUUGGCAUAAGUUGCGGCUGCGCGUCGACGUGUUUGGAUUUUAAACCGCCUAAACAAGUAAACACCACGAAUUGCAAAUCCGUUUUGUCUCGGACGUGCCCAGCUGCAGCUGGCUAGUCUAAGUAGGUAUACAACGAGCAUAACGCGCGGUUCACGACGUCACUGUGUU